CUGACACACAGCUCUCCCACCAGGAGGCCUGGCUUCUAGUUCUGACUCAGGCUUCCCUGUGUGACGUUGGGCAAGUUGCUGGGUCUUUCUGGGCUGUACUUACCUGGGGAGCAAAAUGGGAAUCAUGGUCCCUGUCUGUCCUUCCUCCUGCGGUUAGCACACUUGACCCAACCUGUCUGAAAACCCAUCUGAUGGGUCCCCAGCACAGAGAUGUCACCGGCUUUGGCCCGAGAUGAGAGUUGUCUCAAGGGUCAGCCAGGCCUUAUCACUUACCAAGUGUCCUGGGCCCACUCCUGGGCCCCUACAUCCCCAGUCCUUCACCCCUUUGGGAUACCAUGAACAAAAAGCCUGCCUCGAUUUCCCUAUCCGUAACAAAAGAAAAGAGCUCAAUGGGCUGUGCUGGGAUUGUGGGGUGGGGCCAGAGGCUGGAUUCUGUCUGAGCCUUUUGGGAAGCAGCAGGGUGGAGAGAAGUUAGCUAGACCACACCCCCAGCUCUGCCACUUUCUAACUCUGUGACCUGCUAUGAAGCUUGAGCUUCAAGGCCCUCCUGAACUGACCCUUCCCAAAGCCCCAUUAUUUCAGAUUUAUAAUUGUAUGUACUUUUCCUUACAAGGUGGCCCUCAAAGUGUAUAAUCUCCAAGCUCCAUGAAACCAGGAUCUGCCUUGGGAUGCAGGUAUCAAGGAAACUGCCAGUCCUGACGCUUGUUUGCUGUUUGCUGUGUGACGCUGCUUCACUGACUUAACCUCUCUGAACAACCACUUCCUUGUUCUGCUGUCAUAUCUUCCCAUUGUGAGGCUCAUCUUAGACAAUCUGUGAGCCAGCCAGAAUUCUAACACGCUUUCUGAGUGCCCUGUGGGGAAGUCCAAACCCAGUGGCACCAGGUGACAGGAGAGAAUGAGGAGCUUGGGACAAGGGCUGCCGGAGAAAGUGACAUGUGAGCUAAACCCGGCAAGUCGCGUCUAAUGUGGUCACCAGGUGCUGAAGGGACGAUCACUAGCAGAGAGAAGAGCAUGCUAAGACCUGGAGGGGGGGUGUGUGUGUAUAGGUGUUUGUGUAGGAGGGUGCAUGUUGUGGGUUGGAAGGACUUGCUGGUUGUCUGUCUACCUAGAGCCUCAGGCUCUCUGUGCUCUCACCCUUCCCCACCCCAGAGGGCACACAGGAGAUGCUCGAUCCAUAUUUCCAUGGUUCUGUUGAUGAUUGAUGUGUGCCUGGAUAAGAAGGCAGGGAGAGUGUUUCAGGAUGGAAACACAGCCCGGGCAAAGAUGCAGAACCAUGGUGGAGUUUAGAGAACAGAAGCUUCUCUGUGGUUGGAAUAUGGGUUUGUGGGGGCAGGAUGGAGAGCAGAUGACCCCACUUGCAAGGUGUAAAACAGCAUGGCCUGGGCUGUUCGCCCACGAGAUACUCCUGGAGCCAGUGAGGUCUGUGUGAGAGAGACCCUCGGUGCCCUCUGCAGGGACAGCAGAGGGCUUUGGACAGAAUCAGGUUGCAGGAUUGCUGGGGCCGAGCUGGUGGGAAGGUACAGUAAGACAGGACAGACUGGCCUCCCCUACAGCCCUAUUCAGGUUAUGGCUUCUCCACUCCCACUCAGCCAACCCGCCACCUGCUUAGGGCAAGGUGAGGAGCAGUCUGGAGGCACAGGGAUAGACAAAAGGUUUCAGAUACUCAGGACAAUACCAGAAUUCAGUCUCAACCGGCAGGUGGCCUCUCCUGUGGCCUGGGGCUAUGGAGGAGUCACCGAGGGAGCAGACCUGGGACUCCUGCAGAGGGAAGACAUUCUGUUUGUGUAUAAUCUACAUCCCAAUUUACCCUCUCCACAGCUCUCCAGACCAAGCUGUGAUUUGGGCUCAGGGCAGUGAAGUCACUCACCCAGGGUCAUACAGCUUGUGAGUAACUAAGAGAGAACCCAGAUUCAUAUUCGAGGCCGUCUGUGCUCUCUGUGAUGUGGUGUUUGGAGUGGUGGGGAUCUGGAGCCGACGGCCAAGAAAGAAUUAUUGAGACGUCUUUGGUGGAAAAAGGUGGUUUUAUUAAAGCCCGGGGAUAGGUCCCGCGGGCAGCAGAUUAUAAGCAAAUUCAAUUUUACCUGCCAUUUCCUUCUUGCCUUUGUUCCGCACAUCACUACGGAGGGGAGGGUGGUGUUGGGGCUAGAGGCUUCUGGAGAUUAAGCUAUUGAUAAGAUUGCCUUUUUCUUGUCAUUUACUAAGCUAUUUGUAAACGGAUGGAGACUCAGUUCCUGUGAUCGCU